rnacentral:rRNA from 1 species
UACGAAGGGGGCUAGCGUUGCUCGGAAUUACUGGGCGUAAAGAGUGUGUAGGCGGUGCUCUAAGUUCGGUGUGAAAUCUCCCGGCUUAACUGGGAGGUGCGCCGGAAACUGGAGUGCUCGAGCGUGGGAGAGGAAAGCGGAAUUCCUGGUGUAGCGGUGAAAUGCGUAGAUAUCAGGAGGAACACCGAUGGCGAAGGCAGAUCUCUGGGCCGUAACUGACGCUGAGGAGCGAAAGCAUGGGGAGCGAACAGGG